GAUGAACGCUGGCGGCGUGCCUAAUACAUGCAAGUCGAGCGAACAGACGAGGAGCUUGCUCCUCUGACGUUAGCGGCGGACGUGUGAGUAACACGUGGAUAACCUACCUAUAAGACUGGGAUAACUUCGGGAAACCGGAGCUAAUACCGGAUAAUAUAUUGAACCGCAUGGUUCAAUAGUGAAAGACGGUUUUGCUGUCACUUAUAGAUGGAUCCGCGCCGCAUUAGCUAGUUGGUAAGGUAACGGCUUACCAAGGCAACGAUGCGUAGCCGACCUGAGAGGGUGAUCGGCCACACUCGAACUGAGACACGGUCCAGACUCCUACGGGAGGCAGCAGUAGGGAAUCUUCCGCAAUGGGCGAAAGCCUGACGGAGCAACGCCGCGUGAGUGAUGAAGGUCUUCGGAUCGUAAAACUCUGUUAUUAGGGAAGAACAAAUGUGUAAGUAACUAUGCACGUCUUGACGGUACCUAAUCAGAAAGCCACGGCUAACUACGUG
rnacentral:rRNA from 1 species